GUGUCAGCAGCCGCGGUAAUACGUAGGUGGCAAGCGUUGUCCGGAAUUAUUGGGCGUAAAGCGCGCGCAGGCGGCCUUUUAAGUCUGAUGUGAAAGCCCACGGCUCAACCGUGGAAGGUCAUUGGAAACUGAAAGGCUUGAGUACAGAAGAGGAAAGCGGAAUUCCACGUGUAGCGGUGAAAUGCGUAGAGAUGUGGAGGAACACCAGUGGCGAAGGCGGCUUUCUGGUCUGUAACUGACGCUGAGGCGCGAAAGCGUGGGGAGCAAACAGGAUUAGAUACCCUGGUAGUCCACGCCGUAAACGAUGAGUGCUAAGUGUUAGGGGGUUUCCGCCCCUUAGUGCUGGAGCAAACGCAUUAAGCACUCCGCCUGGGGAGUACGGCCGCAAGGCUGAAACUCAAAUAAAUUGACGG
rnacentral:rRNA from 1 species